GGCAUCUGGAAGCAUUAGGAUUGUUAGAAUCAGAAGUAGCCCAGGGGACAUUAAUGCUCUAUCCCACGUAUUCAUGGGACAGAAAAAGGGAAAGUUUUUAUGUCACUUGGAAGAUGGGAAGCAGAACCAGAGAGAAAUGAGAAAUCUUCCCAUGAGUGCACAAGAAAUUUCUGGUAGAGCUGAGAAUUUAACUCAGUUCCAUGGAAUCUUUUGGUUUUCUUAGGGCACGUGUAACCUGCAGUACUCAAGAGCUUCUGUUUAAAUAGCCUUUCUGCACCACCUAUAUUGGUCAGAGGAGGGAAACUUUUAACUUUCCAAGUUGAUCUCUGCCACAGAACAGAUCCUCUGCCUGCCCUGUAUUCUGGUGAACAAUGUGUACAGUGUUUCAUGUUCCAGAAGGAGAUGGAUGAAGGGUUCCAGGAAACUGAAGUGCUUCUGAGAGCCCUGUGCUGCUCCUGUACACGUUUAAUGACUCUAAAGGAAAGCAGGUUCUAUAAAAUGUCCUACAGUUUCAUCUGUGUUUCUGAAAUGCAGCAGCAUUUGCUUGAUGUUACAGCAUGAACUUUAGCCCAGCUGGGUAGUUUGUCUUCAAGCAACACAAAUGCCUGACUGUCAGAAAUACCUUCAAUAUUAAACUCUGUGCCUUUAAGGGGGGUGCAUUUGGCAUUAAACAGACUUACCAUCUAAUGAAUUUCUCAAGUUACAAGAAUAAUGGCCUUUUUAAUCUUAGCAAGAAUAAUUAAACAGACAUUUGUUAUUAAUGAUGUUGUUAAUGGCAGCAGAUAUUGAAUUUUCUCUGUAGAUAUCAUAAAGUUGUGUGGUGAUUUUUUUGGAGGUUUUUGUUAACUUGAUUGGGCAGUGAAGCUAAAAAUGUAGAAUAUAAUUUUUUCUUCCUUCUGGAGGUAUUAAUUUUUGCCACAUAUCUAGAAGACUCUUCUUUGCCUUCAUUUUAUUCUUAUUGGAGAUCCUUGCCUUUGCCUUCCUUCACUGGCUAAUCUGAUAGCAAACACACUAGGUCAGCCUUCUACCACCUGUGAGUAGCCUGGAAUGAUUCCUGUAGGAAGGAAUGUGAAUGGCAGCAACUAUUUCUGCAGUCCUUACACUGGGUUUGCUGAAAGUUCUUGUUUGUGUUUUGCCUCAGGGAAAUAUGAGUUUGUUGCAUGUCCAGGGACCAUGCCGAUCUGUGCUCUCCCCUGUUCUCUGAUUGUCUGGGAUUGCAUGCAAAUACUGACAGGGUGCAACGCAUUCUCCAGGAAGCAGUUACUCAACCCUGGUCAAUGCUGUGGAGCAGUCAGCAGCUCCAGCGGUGUCCCUGUGGAGGAGUCUCCUUCACUCUGCUUCUCUUACACAUUCAUUUUCUGUACUAUGGUUUCAGAUAUCCCUAUGCUAGGCUUCCUGCUCAUUGCUUUUUCCCUUGGUUUGUGGAAAUCACUUGUCAGUAGUUAUGGUAAUCACAACAUCUUGUGGUCUUUCCUUUACUAGUCCUCAGGGAAAUGACAUGUGGGUUUAUUAGUGUGUGGGUUUCUCAGACCUUUGUGAUGGGAAGACAAUUUAAUCAGAAUAAUUUUUCCAUGAAAUGAAGGCCUUUUCUGACCAGGCUUAGAAACAGCUUUUUCAGUGGCAUGGGACCCUGCUUGACUCAUGUGCCUUUCACAUCUUAAUUUCUCCUGAGAAAAAUGCUUUACAAAAGCUUUAAGAAAUCCUCUGAACUCCAGAGACCAGGAUUUGUCUGCUUUUGGAUUGUGUCUGUCAGUGGCUGCUUUCCAAGCUCUCAUGUUUCUGUGAAUUCCAGUUUACACCUUUUAAAAGCACUCCUUCUGAUUUGGCUUGCUCUCCUCCUGGGUUUGCUCUCUGCUCCCAGCCCGUUCCAAUCACAUGCAAAACCUGCAGCUUCUGCUGGUCCUCCAAGUAUUACUUUACAUUUUAAAGAAGGGGAAAACCCCCUAAGCAAGACAAAGAGCCCUGGCAUUAGUUGCUAAUUUCCCUUUCUCUGUCAAGAUUAUGUUAGUAGCUCUGAGUAAUUUGGUCUGAUUUUCUCAGGGGACUAGGACUGAAAUAAUGCAAUGUUUAUUUUUAUACAAAUUCUCACAGUGCUACAAUGUUUCAGAGACUUCCUGGGAUGUUUCUAGUUUUUUUUUUCACAGACGAAAAGGCUGUUCUCAGAGGUAGCUCCUUCAUGUAAACCUAAAAAUGGCACUUUCCCACAAUACAGCUUAUCAGGAAGUUUAAAGUUCAGUAGUCUCUCUCUCGCUCUCUCUCCCUGUCUCACACACAUGAAAGUAAAGAAUAAAAAAUGAAGGGGCUGUUCCAGUUCUUCUGAGAGUUGCUUUUCAAUCAUACUGUUUCAGUGUGCUGACUGAUCAUAAUGGCUUGGUGGGGCCUGUGAUGGCCUAACAACAGAAUGAGGCAACAUUUGUGGAGAAAUAUAGCCACUUUUAUUCAAUAAAUUGUGAUGGAUUCACUCAGUGAGUUACGAGUGCUCAUAACGCUGCUCUUGCUUACACACAUAUGGAUAUGGGCAUAAAGCUAACCUCAACUACUAAGGCAUUAAAAUUGGAAUGUCAUGAUUCUGCUGCCUCCUGAGUGUCUGAAAUGGUUUGAUUAGGAAUAACUAAG
ensembl:lncRNA